GACGAACGCUGGCGGCGUGCUUAACACAUGCAAGUCGAACGGAAAGGCCCUGCUUUUGUGGGGUGCUCGAGUGGCGAACGGGUGAGUAACACGUGAGUAACCUGCCCUUGACUUUGGGAUAACUUCAGGAAACUGGGGCUAAUACCGGAUAGGAGCUCCUGCUGCAUGGUGGGGGUUGGAAAGUUUCGGCGGUUGGGGAUGGACUGGCGGCUUAUCAGCUUGUUGGUGGGGUAGUGGCUUACCAAGGCUUUGACGGGUAGCCGGCCUGAGAGGGUGACCGGCGACAUUGGGCCUGAGAUACGGCCCAGACUCCUACGGGAGGCAGCAGUGGGGAAUAUUGCACAAUGGGCGGAAGCCUGAUGCAGAAACGCCGCGGGCGGGAUGACGGCUUUCUGGUUGUAAACCGCUUUCGCCUGUGACGAAGCGGGAGUGACGGUAAUGGGUAAAGAAGCACCGGCUAACUACGUG
rnacentral:rRNA from 1 species